AUGAGUAAAGUGGCGUACGGGUGAGUAACACGUGGACAAUCUACCCUCUAGUGGGGAAUACCGCUGGGAAACCGGCGACAAUACCGCAUAAGCUCGAGAGAGGAAAGCAGCAAUGCGCUGGAGGAGGAGUCCGCGGCUGAUUAGCUAGUUGGUGAGGUAACGGCUCACCAAGGCAAAGAUCAGUAGCCGGCCUGAGAGGGCACACGGCCACACUGGCACUGAAACACGGGCCAGACUCCUACGGGAGGCAGCAGUGGGGAAUCUUGCACAAUGGGGGAAACCCUGAUGCAGCGACGCCGCGUGAGCGAUGAAGCCCCUCGGGGUGUAAAGCUCUUUCGGCAGGGAAGAUUAUGACGGUACCUGCAGAAGCAGCUGCGGCUAACUACGUGCCAGCAGCCGCGGUAAUACGUAGGCAGCAAGCGUUGUUCGGAGUUACUGGGCGUAAAGGGUGUGUAGGCGGUUGGAUAAGUGUGGUGUGAAAUCUCCCGGCUCAACUGGGAGGGUGCGCUACAGACUGUCUGACUAGAGUAUGGGAUGGGAGAGUGGAAUUCCUGGUGUAGCGGUGAAAUGCGUAGAUAUCAGGAGGAACACCGGUGGUGUAGACGGCUCUCUGGACCAUUACUGACGCUGAGACACGAAAGCGUGGGUAGCAAACAGGAUUAGAUACCCUGGUAGUCCACGCCCUAAACGAUGCAUAUUUGGGUGUGGGUCAUUCAUUUGAUCCGU
rnacentral:rRNA from 1 species